GGAUUCCCAGGAGUGAUGAGAGUUAGGAUUUUACCCACUAAUUGAUGAAAUUAAUGGGGAUUUUUCCCCAAAAAUGAUGAGUUGUGAGGUUAUCUCACUAAUGAUUAGGAGCUGAAAUAGAACCUGUAAAAUAUACAAAAGGCAAGUAGAUCUAUAUGUUGUUAUUUAACGUUGUUGAAUUCGGCUCUGGGAGGCCUCGAAUUCCGGUCAAAAUAAGGCCUACAAAAAGAGACAAUCAAUAUUGACAAAUUGACGGGGGGAACUGAGCCUAAGGCCUAGGCCUAACUUGCAAAAAAAAGUUCUAUAGGCCUAGUCCAGCUUAAAUAAUCGCCAGUCAGUGUUCUACCGUUUACCACGGGAAUUAAUAGGCUGCUAUUGACCUACCAAUAAUGUAUCCAUGACUUUCUUUAAGGCAAAAUGGGCCUAAAAAGUAGUAACCUUAGAUUCGACUGCGCCCAGUGACUGCCGGAAACCGAAGUGUUAAACCAUAGAUAAUACCGUAUGAUUGCCAACUCGCGUGAUGUAGCGUACUGGUUCGAGCGCACAUUUUUUUGCGCCGGGGGGUUGUUUACUUCCGGUCAUAGAUAACCAUAAUAAUAAUAUUGUGAUAACGGCCGUCAUACAGUAAUACUAAUAAUAUUGUGAUAGAGUAAAGUAUAGACUUAUUUACCUUUACUUAUUAAGAAGAUACGUUAUAUUUAGUUUUUUUUUGGUACGCAUUUUUUAUAGUUUUUGUUUUUAUAAUUAAUAGGCAAUAGUUAGGCCUAUAUAGUAUAGGCCUAUCGCAAAUCAUGGUAAAUAAUUGUUGUGUAGUAAAUUGUUCUGCUUCUAAAAAAAAAAAUGUAGAGGAUUAUCAUUUCAUAAAAUAAAAAAAAACAACAAUAAAUUAUGGGAGAAGAAGUUAAUCAGCAUUAUAAACAGGAUUGAUACCAGUUUCAAUCCAGAAGCUGCUACAAUCUGUUAUCGUCAUUUUGAGGAUAGUUGUUUCAAAGAAAAUGGUAAGUUAAAUUUUGUAGUUUGGUAAAAAGAAAAAAUGAUUUUAAAAAACCCCGCAGACUUGGGACACUGGGUGACAUGUCAUGUAAAAAAACCCAAAAAAAUAUAGAGAUCUAGAUUUUAAAAUUUAAUGUAAUAAUUUGACAAUAUUAAAAAUUUUGAACUCCCUUCUUAUCACAAUCAUACUUUAUUUAGUACCGGUAAUAAUAUUACAUAGUGUAAUUUAAUAUGAUUGAUAUUUUACAGAAUCAACUGGAAAAAGAGUUCUGUUAGAAAAUAGUUUACCUACAAAACAUAUACCACAAAAGUCUUUCGAAAAGAAAAUUGCUCAAAGAAGAUCAUCUCUUAAAAGGAUAAAUUUGACAACUGAACCUGAAGAAUUUAACGAAUCAACUCAGACAGUUAUCACAAAAGAGAUUGUUCUGAAUACACUUCGUACCAUACCAGGUUGGUUUGUUACACAACAUGAAAAUGGGGUAGAUGUUGUUAAAUACAGACAUACAGAUAUGAAGAUAUCACAUUGUGUGAAAAUAGAUAAUGGAAUGGAGUACCAGCUAUUUAUAGAAGGUAUGAACCUUAAAACUAUUCAUAUUAAUGAACCAUCUAUUAUCACAAAAUCGGAAGAUCUAAAAAGAAUUAUUGAGAAGAUUACCAUGAUAAAACCAUGCAUGGGUUUCUUUGAAAAAGAUCUAAUAGAUGUAUCCGAUUUUACUAACCUCAAUUACAACAAGGAGGUCGUGAUCAACCAACAGAUAAAUUCUAUGCAGACUAUGGUCCAUAGCGUUAAAUGUCUUGUUAUUGGGCCAGUCUGCAUAGAAUGUAAAAAAACAAAGAAUAUUCUAAAACAAAAAAAAAACAGAUUAGACAUUGCUAGAAAAAGAACAAUAAAUUUUAACAAAAAGACACCUUUAGUAAAAACGUCAAAAGAAAAACUAUCAAAAGCCUUAAAAGAUAUUCGAGUAAAAAAUAGUAGAUUGGAAAAAGAAUUAAGGACCAUCCAAAAGAGAUUAAGAAAUGAAAGCGAAGAAGUUUCUGAACAAUUACAUGACAGCUUAUUAAAUAUUAUGAAUAAAGAAACAAUUUCAAACCCUUUUCUGGACUUGUUUUGGAAGGAACAAAAAAAUUUUUUUAACAGAAAGUCUUCUGGGAAAAGAUGGCACCCAAUGAUAAUAAGAUUAGCUAUUCUGUUACACACUCAAUCCCCCCAAGCUUACAGGUCAUUAAAACAAACUGGACUUUUGCAUCUACCCGGAGAAUCGACACUGCGGGAUUACAGUAAUGCUAUAAGUCCAACUCAUGGUUUCAAUCCAAAUGUGAUUAAUGAUCUGAAAGACAUGGUUAAAGACCUGAAAGAUAAUGAAAGAUGGGUAGUUUUGAUUCAUGAUGAAAUGACUAUCAAGUCUGAUUUAGUAUAUAACCCAAGAUCAGGAGAAUUAUGUGGCUUCAUACCUGAUGGAAGUAAGGUAUUGGCUUCCACCUCUGAUAAAGCAUCGCCUAAUCAAAGGCUUAUCGAUAUGCAUCGAGAAGAUAAGGAAGCUAUUUACUCUACAAAUAAUAUUUUUGCUCGGGAAAGACAAAUUUAUUUUGUAUCAGAUGUACCCCAUUUGUUGAAAACGCUAAGAAAUAAUCUUGCCAACUCAGGAUCUGGACUGAAGACACGUUACCUUUGGAAUGAUGGCAAACAUCUUUUAUGGUCCCAUGUCAGACAAGUAUUUAUGGAAGACAGCAAAUCAGAAUUACGAAGAACAAAACUGACCCCUGCUCAUGUAGAUCUCUAUUCGUAUUCUGUAAUGAAAGUUAAUCUUGCUGCUCAGGUAAUGAGCAAAACGGUCAGUAGUGUUAUGAAGGCAUACAUGACAGAAGAUACCUGGGAGACAGCUAACUUUAUAGAAAUUGUUGACAGACUUUUGAAUGCCUUAAUGUAAGAUCAAAGUCAGAAGGUAACAGGGUUCAAAAAACUGAUUUAAUGCCAUAUACAGAUGUUGAAGAUAAAAGAUUUGAGUUUCUGUUAAAUGAUGCAUUAGGCUAUUUCAAAAACUGGAAAUUUUCUGUUGAAAAUAGAGAAGGCUUCGGCACAUCGGAAAAAUCGAAAAUGUUUAUUUCAGCGCAGACAUAUAAAGGCCUUUUUGUAACAAUAAAUUCUGUAGUAGAAGCCACCAAGUAUCUCUUGUCUUGUGGUGUCAAAGAGGUGUAUACCAAUUCCUUUUGUCAAGACCCUUUGGAGUCGCAUUUUGGAAAUCAGAGGUUUGGCAAGGAGAAACGACAACCCGACUUUAUAUGCAUUUGGAUACCAGGAAAACAAGAUUAGACUUCAAAGAAACCUGUCUAUUCUCUUUCAAUCUAAUAAGGGAAAUAUUGAGAAAGAAAGUGGUUCCAUUAAAAUAAAUGCACAACCUCUGAAAAAGAGGAAACUGUGAUAUUUGCACAGAGAUGAUUUAAAUCGAAAAUGUCGACAAUUACUAAAAAAAAUUUAUUACAUAAAAAUACACACCACAAGCACUAUAUUGAAAUGCUUGGUUAUAUGAUAAUGUUCAGACAAUUUCAUAAUAAAUAAAUAAAGAUUGCUGUUAAAAAAAUUAUGUCAUAUAAUAAAUAAAUAAGGUACUUCUCAUAGAAUACAUGUAUAAAUAUGCUAAAUUGUUGGAUGAUGACAUGAGUAGAAUUUAUAGUUUUUUUAAUGUUUUUCUAAGACCUUUAGACUUUUUCAGUUUCAAUUUUUCAAUACUAAUUUUACAUCUAUGAUGUAUUCUUAUAUUAAAAAAUAAUUUUACUAUAUCUAUUAAAAUAAGAUGUUGGAUUUUAUCAUCAAUAAUUGGUUUAUCAAAACAGUUUAAAAAAUCUUGUUUACAUUCAAAUGUGCAUUUUUUAAUGAAUUCAUCUUUAUCUACUUUGGUCGAUAAAGGUGUAAAUAUCCCUACAAAAUUCUUUUCCAAUCUAAUUAAUAAUUUAAGAAAAUGGCCAUUUAUAUAUUUUAACCCCCCUCUGUCCUUUAAUUUAGUUAAUUUGAUAAAUGCAGCUUGCCCCCCAUCCACAUUGCAUGCAAGCAUAUGAACACAUUCUUUUUUUUCAGCUUGCACAUAUCUAGAAACAAGUUUAUUAAUAAUCCACCCCCCAAUAUACGCAAUUAUUUCAAAGUCUUUUUGAUCAAGGUUUGGUUGGGAAAUUAAAUUAGCUUCAGCGGAUAUAAUAAUUCUAUUUCAGAAAAAAGAAAAAACUUUUAGAGUAAAAAAAGGAAGUAUUAGUUUAGGUAUGAACGAAAUAGUUUUAUGUUCUAAAAUAGAUAGGCCUAAAUGAUAUUUCCUCCAGGAAUCUUGUUUAUUAAUUGAUUGGUAGGAGUUCAAAAAGGCAACUUCAUCCUUGAUAUCUGCAACUGAAAAAUACAAAGAUAAUAUUAUAAUAAAUAUAGCAUUUACUUGACAAUUAUCACAAUUUUUAUCUGGCCCUAAAUCAAGUUAGUGCAAACUUUGUGCUUGGAACUCUCUGGAUUUGUGUUCCUGGUGUUAUAAGCUUUCCAAAAAUGUAUAGUUUGUUUAUUAGGGAAGAUUUUGUAGCGGAACUUCACGCUAGAAUUUUUUUGGCUGCAGGCCUAUUUUCAACAGUAUGGAGACAUACUUUUGGUUUUCAAAUACAUGUAAGUAUUUUUAUACUCCCACAUUUCCAUGUGGAUUGUGGACAUUUGAAAAUAAAAUAUUGUUUUCUCGUCCAUCAUAUUAAAUUUUAAAAUUUCAUUCAAAGCAUUAAUAAUGUCAGUAUUGUUGAUUACUUGUGUAUCCUGUAAUAUAAUUGGGCAAUACAAAAAAUAUAUAUCCUGUGCCAAUAAUCUGGGUUUAUUUUAUUUUUGUGUUUUUAUUUUGUGAAAGGAUUACUACUGGACUAAAUGACUUUUCAUGGCCAUCAAAUUUUAAGGCACUACAUGUAGAUUUAUCUCAUCAUAUUGCUUAUAUAAAUAGGACUAUUUGAUUACCCAGUAUCAUCAAUGGCAUUACAUUUAUUAGGUUUUCAUACUUGACAAAUUAACCAGUGGAUCCAUUAAAAUAUUUUCAUAGAGUUACUUCCUGUAACUUGGGUAAAAUAUUUAUGUGGUGUAGUCAACAAGGUCUUUUUAAGUGGGGAAGGAUUAUCGAAGAACCAGAAUAUUUUUUUUAUAUGCCCCAAAUAAAAUUUAACAGUUAAAGAUGCAUUAUGUAAGAGGUAAAUUUGGCCUCAAAUGUUGUAUAAAUAAAUCAUUAAUUAGACAUUUAUUCACAUGCAAAGCCUAUAAUCAACUCUCUGUAUCAUCAGAUGGUUGUUAUUUGAAACUGAUUUAAACAUGAUUUCCAUUUAAUAAUUUAAUUAAGAAAAUGGAUAAUCAUAACAAGGGUAGAAAUGACAAUCAAAGCCACACUAUUCUUCAAACAGCCAUAACUUCAUUCAGAAUGUAGUAACUUGAUUGAAAUUUUUAACA